AAAUGCGGGAAGCUCAUUUGGCGGCAAGCAUAACACAGGUGUCUGCGAGUGCUUCGUGCGAGCUUGUGACUUUAUAACUGUGUUGUCUGCAUGGAAACGUUCGCUUUACCACACCGUUAUAGCCGUUGUGUUGUUAUGCGUAGGCUUUGAACAGUUCGCCUCCGUGAGUAAAGGUUGAAUGACUGCUGUUCGACCACCACCAUAACGGAGACGCCGGGAAGACGCUGAGCGGGCUGAACUACCUCGACGCCGUAAAUAAUGGCAAUCCGUCACCGACGCAUAUUUUCGUGAACGUUGCCGCCACUUCGGACAUUGUGAACAAUAUGCCUACGUUCCAGCAAGACCUUAAGGACACGGCGGUUCAGCUCGUGAAAUCUCUCGAGUGCCCCAUUUGCCUGGAAAUUUUACGGGAUCCGUUGUCAACGAGUUGUCAUCAUCGAUUCUGCAGAUUAUGUCUGGAAAGGCACUCCAAGACAACUACAAGAUUCCCGUCCACUUUGCAAAGCUGUGGUCACGAAAAGGAGCCUCACCCAGAGUGAUCUCAUAGUCAAGCUGGUGGAUAAGGUGAAGCAACUGGUGCAGGCUGUGAAGAAUGACACUGGUGUGGAAGUCACACCACGAAAGAGCCAGUUAGAACCAGCAAAUGCAUCUCUGGAGCGGCGUUCUGUUCAUUCAGCUGCGCAGAAAGCGGCGGACAUCGUGCAAGAGUU
rnacentral:lncRNA from 1 species